rnacentral:rRNA from 1 species
AUUGAACGCUGGCGGCAUGCCUUACACAUGCAAGUCGAACGGUAGAGUAGCAAUACUCGAGAGUGGCGAACGGGUGAGUAAUAUAUCGGAACGUGCCCAGUCGUGGGGGAUAACGUAGAGAAAUUUACGCUAAUACCGCAUACGAUCUAAGGAUGAAAGCGGGGGAUUCGCAAGAACCUCGCGCGAUUGGAGCGGCUGAUAUCAGAUUAGGUUGUUGGUGAGGUAAAAGCUCACCAAGCCGACGAUCUGUAGCUGGUCUGAGAGGACGACCAGCCACACUGGGACUGAGACACGGCCCAGACUCCUACGGGAGGCAGCAGUGGGGAAUUUUGGACAAUGGGCGCAAGCCUGAUCCAGCAAUGCCGCGUGCAGGAUGAAGG